rnacentral:lncRNA from 1 species
AGUUAUUUUUCGUUAGAGGCUCUACUUCUUACCUGGAGGUAGAUAAGGGGACAUGACAUCUUCAGCCAUCAGAGAUGGUUGUUAUCUUCAAAACACACGAGUGAGGAUCCUUCAGCUCAGCUGUGAAGGCCUUUCCUAGCAAGCCCAGGGACGAGGGGUUCAUCACACACUAUAAAUAUAAAAAUGCUACAGCUCGAGGUGAACAUGAUCAAAGUGUGCUCCAAAGUGUAUAAAACCCUCUCCGUGGAGCCCACUGGAGUAUAAAGUCAGUCGUACUAAGAAUUAAAAAAUGGAAGAUAUAACACAUUUAGGCUCCUCUUGGUUCUAGUAUGACAAGCA